UGGUUUCUCUUCAGAUCGUACAAAUCUUUCGCCUUUUACUAAAGAUUUCCGUGGAGAGGAACAACUCUGAGUUUUAAACCAAUUUUUUGAGGCCUUGCUUUUUCAGCAGGGCUUAUUUGAGUGGUACUAAAAACAGACGUAUGCUAGUAAAUCUGUAAGCUCUGAAAUGUGGGUUCAUCAGCCCUUAGAAGUGCGUUUAAUACAAACGCGAAUUUUUGGGCUUUUCUAGAGGUUCACCUUUUUAUGGUAGGCGUUAGUUCUACUGCAUCUCUGGGGAGUUGCUACCGUGACACGUUGGGGUGGCUUACUGCUUUUGACCAAGGAACGGGGCUUGGCUUGUUUAAUUACACCAGGGGUUUUUAACCCCGGCCACUGACCGACAGAGGGUUACCGGCUGGCAAGCGAGCACUACCGCCUGACCUCCCCAUCGUGUCAGGUCAGUAGGGCAUCAGAUUCUCCUAGGAGCAGGAACCCUACUGCGAACUGCGCAUACGAGGGAUCUAGAACUUCAAAGAGGAACCAGGAGUACGGGAGGAACAUGGAAGUGGACAAGGAGCACGACCAUUGAAGCGCAGCACCACAGGGAGGGGUUUAGGCCUCUGGAUGACUGCGGGCGGGCCUGGAUAAUAUCCAGCCUCCCACAAGAAGCUGGUGGAGCAGAGUGUUCCCUGACUCCUCCAAGGAAAGGAGACUCCCUUUCCCGGUCUGCUAAGUAACGGGUGUCUUCCCAGACACUGGCGUUACUGCUUGACCAAGGAGCCCUCAAGCGGCCCUUAUGCGGGCGUGACAGAGGGCUCACCUCUUGCCUUCUUGGUCACUUCUCACGAUGUCCCUUCAGCACCUGACCCUAUACCCACCGGUUAUUCCUUGGUUAUACAACAAAGAGUAAUAUUAAAAGCUAAUGAUUAAUAUUGUUCAUACUAAUGAUUUAUAAUGUCCAUGAUCAUCUCUAUAUCUAAUUUGUAUUAUAACUAUUCUAACUAUUUUCUUUACUAUCCUGAAACAGUUUGUGCCUUCAGUCUCUUGCCUCGGCACCUGGGUAAUCCUCCGUCGACACUCGUCUGUCUCUCCUGCAGGCUGCAUUCGCUGAGGUGUGUCUGUGUUGCUCCCCUUUGUGUUCCAGUCAAAAAAGAUUCCUAGAGAGGAUUUGCUCUCACACCAAGGCUAAGCUCCCCACACCAGUUUAACGAGCCUGGAAGUAAGUGCCGUCCACCAAUGUCCCACCUGCUCUUCGGAUGCUCCUCAAGCCGUCCCUGCCCAGAGAGAUUCUGGGAUGAAAAGGAAAAAUUGUCCCUGCCUGGCAGAAAUUGAUGCUGCUUCUGGAGAGAAUUUAAGCAAGCACCAUGAGAACAGGAACUCUGGUUCCCAUCUGCACCCCCCAUGCAUAGAACAGCCCUGGCAGAAGCAUUCAGUAGAUACUUGCUGAAUGAACUCAACUCUUUGAGCAACCAAACACAAGGGUUCAGACAAUAGGAGCCCUGGAAACCAGAACUCCUCUCUCAUCCAGAACAGGAUUUUCUUUUCUUUAACAGUCAACAGAGAGGAGAGUUUUCAUUGGGCGGGAGCAUCUCAACCUGCUGAAAGAAGGCAUUCUCCAACCUCCCUGUGAACCAGUUGCAGCCACAAAUGCCAGGACGCACUUCAGCCCAGCAGGGGUUAUGUCAAGAAGUCCCCAUCUGUCACCAGGCCGACUGCAGAGCUGAGCAAAGAAUCAGGGGAUCCACCUGCUGGUUUCACCUCUGCAAACUGACUCUAAAACACUUCACUCUGCUCAAAUCAGGCCCCACCUACCAGAACAAAUAACAGAAAGACCUGACCUUUACACUCAAAUUUCCACUACAGUCUCAUAAAAACCUUCUGAGGUAGGCGUUAUUGUUAUUAAAUACAGGCCCAGAGAGAUUAGGCGACGAAUCCCAAAGUCGCACAGACACUAGGCAGUUGAGCAGAGAUUCAACCUCUGGUGAAACGCCAAGCCCAAGUUUUAACCACCCCAUCAUCACCUUCAGUGUUACCUCUGCAGAUUUUGGAGGGACAUAACUAGGGUGGACCAAGUGCUGACCAGGACUCACCUGGGCUGAAGAGCUGAGCCCAGAGGAGCUGGUGGUCUUGAAGAAGCUCCGCGGCUGGCAUCUCCAAGAGCUCCAGCAUUUCCUUCCGGGCCAAGUCCUGCAGUGCCUUGAGUUCCUUGGCUGCUUUGCUUUUGAGCACCUGGGAGUUAAUGGGGCCAGAGACGUGCACCACCCACAGCACCGUCUCAUCCAGCUGCGUCUUG